rnacentral:rRNA from 1 species
GGUUAAGCGACUAAGCGUACACGGUGGAUGCCCUGGCAGUCAGAGGCGAUGAAGGACGUGCUAAUCUGCGAUAAGCGUCGGUGAGGUGAUAUGAACCGUUAUAACCGGCGAUUUCCGAAUGGGGAAACCCAGUGUGUUUCGACACACUAUCAUUAACUGAAUCCAUAGGUUAAUGAGGCGAACCGGGGGAACUGAAACAUCUAAGUACCCCGAGGAAAAGAAAUCAACCGAGAUUCCCCCAGUAGCGGCGAGCGAACGGGGAGGAGCCCAGAGCCUGAAUCAGUGUGUGUGUUAGUGGAAGCGUCUGGAAAGGCGCGCGAUACAGGGUGACAGCCCCGUACACAAAAAUGCACAUAUUGUGAGCUCGAUGAGUAGGGCGGGACACGUGGUAUCCUGUCUGAAUAUGGGGGGACCAUCCUCCAAGGCUAAAUACUCCUGACUGACCGAUAGUGAACCAGUACCGUGAGGGAAAGGCGAAAAGAACCCCGGCGAGGGGAGUGAAAAAGAACCUGAAACCGUGUACGUACAAGCAGUGGGAGCCUCUUAAUGGGGUGACUGCGUACCUUUUGUAUAAUGGGUCAGCGACUUAUAUUCUGUAGCAAGGUUAACCGAAUAGGGGAGCCGAAGGGAAACCGAGUCUUAACUGGGCGUUAAGUUGCAGGGUAUAGACCCGAAACCCGGUGAUCUAGCCAUGGGCAGGUUGAAGGUUGGGUAACACUAACUGGAGGACCGAACCGACUAAUGUUGAAAAAUUAGCGGAUGACUUGUGGCUGGGGGUGAAAGGCCAAUCAAACCGGGAGAUAGCUGGUUCUCCCCGAAAGCUAUUUAGGUAGCGCCUCGUGAAUUCAUCUCCGGGGGUAGAGCACUGUUUCGGCAAGGGGGUCAUCCCGACUUACCAACCCGAUGCAAACUGCGAAUACCGGAGAAUGUUAUCACGGGAGACACACGGCGGGUGCUAACGUCCGUCGUGAAGAGGGAAACAACCCAGACCGCCAGCUAAGGUCCCAAAGUCAUGGUUAAGUGGGAAACGAUGUGGGAAGGCCCAGACAGCCAGGAUGUUGGCUUAGAAGCAGCCAUCAUUUAAAGAAAGCGUAAUAGCUCACUGGUCGAGUCGGCCUGCGCGGAAGAUGUAACGGGGCUAAACCAUGCACCGAAGCUGCGGCAGCGACGCUUAUGCGUUGUUGGGUAGGGGAGCGUUCUGUAAGCCUGUGAAGGUGGCCUGUGAGGGUUGCUGGAGGUAUCAGAAGUGCGAAUGCUGACAUAAGUAACGAUAAAGCGGGUGAAAAGCCCGCUCGCCGGAAGACCAAGGGUUCCUGUCCAACGUUAAUCGGGGCAGGGUGAGUCGACCCCUAAGGCGAGGCCGAAAGGCGUAGUCGAUGGGAAACAGGUUAAUAUUCCUGUACUUGGUGUUACUGCGAAGGGGGGACGGAGAAGGCUAUGUUGGCCGGGCGACGGUUGUCCCGGUUUAAGCGUGUAGGCUGGUUUUCCAGGCAAAUCCGGAAAACCAAGGCUGAGGCGUGAUGACGAGGCACUACGGUGCUGAAGUGACAAAUGCCCUGCUUCCAGGAAAAGCCUCUAAGCAUCAGGUAACAUCAAAUCGUACCCCAAACCGACACAGGUGGUCAGGUAGAGAAUACCAAGGCGCUUGAGAGAACUCGGGUGAAGGAACUAGGCAAAAUGGUGCCGUAACUUCGGGAGAAGGCACGCUGAUAUGUAGGUGAAGCGACUUGCUCGUGGAGCUGAAAUCAGUCGAAGAUACCAGCUGGCUGCAACUGUUUAUUAAAAACACAGCACUGUGCAAACACGAAAGUGGACGUAUACGGUGUGACGCCUGCCCGGUGCCGGAAGGUUAAUUGAUGGGGUUAGCGGUAACGCGAAGCUCUUGAUCGAAGCCCCGGUAAACGGCGGCCGUAACUAUAACGGUCCUAAGGUAGCGAAAUUCCUUGUCGGGUAAGUUCCGACCUGCACGAAUGGCGUAAUGAUGGCCAGGCUGUCUCCACCCGAGACUCAGUGAAAUUGAACUCGCUGUGAAGAUGCAGUGUACCCGCGGCAAGACGGAAAGACCCCGUGAACCUUUACUAUAGCUUGACACUGAACAUUGAGCCUUGAUGUGUAGGAUAGGUGGGAGGCUUUGAAGUGUGGACGCCAGUCUGCAUGGAGCCGACCUUGAAAUACCACCCUUUAAUGUUUGAUGUUCUAACGUUGGCCCGUAAUCCGGGUUGCGGACAGUGUCUGGUGGGUAGUUUGACUGGGGCGGUCUCCUCCUAAAGAGUAACGGAGGAGCACGAAGGUUGGCUAAUCCUGGUCGGACAUCAGGAGGUUAGUGCAAUGGCAUAAGCCAGCUUGACUGCGAGCGUGACGGCGCGAGCAGGUGCGAAAGCAGGUCAUAGUGAUCCGGUGGUUCUGAAUGGAAGGGCCAUCGCUCAACGGAUAAAAGGUACUCCGGGGAUAACAGGCUGAUACCGCCCAAGAGUUCAUAUCGACGGCGGUGUUUGGCACCUCGAUGUCGGCUCAUCACAUCCUGGGGCUGAAGUAGGUCCCAAGGGUAUGGCUGUUCGCCAUUUAAAGUGGUACGCGAGCUGGGUUUAGAACGUCGUGAGACAGUUCGGUCCCUAUCUGCCGUGGGCGCUGGAGAACUGAGGGGGGCUGCUCCUAGUACGAGAGGACCGGAGUGGACGCAUCACUGGUGUUCGGGUUGUCAUGCCAAUGGCACUGCCCGGUAGCUAAAUGCGGAAGAGAUAAGUGCUGAAAGCAUCUAAGCACGAAACUUGCCCCGAGAUGAGUUCUCCCUGAGACUUUAAGUCUCCUGAAGGAACGUUGAAGACGACGACGUUGAUAGGCCGGGUGUGUAAGCGCAGCGAUGCGUUGAGCUAACCGGUACUAAUGAACCGUGAGGCUUAACCUU